AUAAAAAAUAAAACAGCCUUCUCAAUAAGAAGUAGCAGGGUUAUGUUAAAAAUCCGUGUGAAUGCUUAGUUCCUUCCUAAUUCUCACUUCCUGAUGGAAGGCCACUGACACUAACACCUGCCGUUAUAGACGCAGCCUACACCCUUAGCAGCCAGAGUGGCGCCGCCAAGCCGCGUCCCCGGGAACUACAUGAGCGUCUCAGCAUCAAGCCGCCGUAGCUUGGAACUGUGCGUGCGUUCACAUCUGUGCUUUAUCUCCAGUUAUUUUGCAUUCCCAGGGCCAAAGAAGGGCGUGUGGAAGUGGGCCCACUUGACCACAGGAAGCCAGCUCUGGAGGCACAGGGAGCCCAUUUUAUGGCUAGUUGCCAUCACCUGCACACACCCCGCUCUCUAGCAGGCUCCGGCGUCGCUGGAGAUUGUGAACAUCGCUAAUCAGAUGUUAAUUGAAUGCACAGGAAAAGGAAAUAAAUUCGUCUUCUGAAAGGGCAGCUGGAAAGGGGUUCGACUGCUCAAGUUCGGAUUUACAUUCCAAAGCAGUCCCAAGGCCAAACACACUCCAGCCUGAGCAGAAGGAAAACCCCUCUCCUCUUUCCAGCAUCGCUGGAAAACACAGCUCCCAAGAGGGAGGGUUCUGGAACCGAGAGCUUGGCGGCGCCCUGUGGUCCCUCAGGAAAUAGGGGCGAGACAAAGGACGCCGGCUCCUGGGAGGUCCCUAAAUUCGAAGCCAAUCCCUCUUCCUAGCCACUACCUGCAGCUUUAAACGGCAAGAGACACACCUCCCCUCCCGGAUCUCUGGGGCGAGGGCGAGGGUGGGGGGCAAAUAUUUCUUUCUAGUUACUCCAUUCAGACUGUGCUUAAAUAUUUAUUU
rnacentral:lncRNA from 1 species